UACGGGGGGGGCAAGCGUUGUUCGGAAUUACUGGGCGUAAAGGGCUCGUAGGCGGCCAACUAAGUCGGAUGUGAAAUCCCCAAGCUUAACUUGGGAACUGCAUCCGAUACUGGAUGGCUUGAAUCCGGGAGAGGGAUGCAGAAUUCCAGGUGUAGCGGUGAAAUGCGUAGAUAUCGGGAGGAACACCAGUGGCGAAGGCGGCUUCCUGGCCCGUUCUUGACGCUGAGGCGCGAAAGCUAGGGGAGCAAACGGG
rnacentral:rRNA from 1 species